rnacentral:lncRNA from 1 species
GACAUUUGGAAAGUUACCGGUCUGAGUAGAAGAAAUUGUCCCAAUUGUUUUCUCGCGACGAAGAUGGAGAUGGAAAAAUCCAUGCCGAGCACUUACGUUGCAGGUAUUCGACUGAAGACUAUUCAUAUAUUGAAUUCUAUAUCUCCUUGUCUUCGAUGUAUAUAACACAUAUCUGUUGUCGAUCGAAAUUUCAAAAAUUAGCAGAGAAAUUAAACGAAAUCAGUAGAUGAUUGAUUUCAGCUUUGAUUGUGACUCUUUUGUAUUUUAUGAAACUUUGUUUAUGUAGAUUUUACUUACUUUUUUGUUUACUUAGAUAGUUAAAAGUUCGAUUUUUGUAGUAGAUUUUGCAGGUUUUAUCCAAUUUUUUAGAUUUUACUUUCUUGAGUUUUUUUUCUUAGUUGUUUCAUAACUGUUUGAUUCAGUUAAUCACUAGACUUAAUAAAAAGAUGUGCAACAAAUAGAAGUGGGCUUACAUAUUUAAUAUUUCACAUAAUCCACUUAAUGUAAGUGAUGAAGAUACUAAGCAAAUGUUCUAACUGUGAACUUUAGUUUCUUACACAUCCAAGUGAGAUACAAGAUGAAGAAGACAAAGAGGAAGAAGAAGAAGAAGAGCCACUAAGUAUUGGUGUUCCAUGGAACAAAUCCGAGAGAUAGUUCUCCAAGUUAUCAGGCUUAAAGCUCACCAGCAUCUCUAUGUUUCUCUCCUUACUCAGCGUUGGCAAGUACUUACCGUAAAACUCUCUGUAUUCCGGUACUAUUUUCUUUGCUAUGGAAACUUUUAGCUCGUUCCUAAGUUUUGCAUCUGUUAUCACACAUGAUGAUUGUUUCAUAUAAGCUUCUUCGAAUACCGCGUGAAACCUCUUGAAAUGUGUUUUGGCUUCCUCUGGUGAUAGUCUGCUACUUGUUUUCUCUGGUAAAG